UGUCAGUCAACGUUUAUUCAUAAAUCUGGUCGUUCACCGUCACGUGUUACCCAACUAACCAAUAGCAAUGUGAACGACCAGAUUUAUGAAUAAACGUUGACUAAUAUA